rnacentral:sRNA from 1 species
AAAGAAGAAAUAAUCUGGUCGGUGACAUUGAAUUUGGAUUAAAAAAAAAAAUGCAAAU